rnacentral:rRNA from 1 species
CUUGGUAACGUAGCUAACGCGUGAAGUUGACCGCCUGGGGAGUACGGCCGCAAGGUUAAAACUCAAAGGAAUUGACGGGGACCCGCACAAGCGGUGGAUGAUGUGGAUUAAUUCGAUGCAACGCGAAAAACCUUACCUACCCUUGACAUGGCAGGAACUUUCCAGAGAUGGAUUGGUGCUCGAAAGAGAACCUGCACACAGGUGCUGCAUGGCUGUCGUCAGCUCGUGUCGUGAGAUGUUGGGUUAAGUCCCGCAACGAGCGCAACCCUUGUCAUUAGUUGCUACGAAAGGGCACUCUAAUGAGACUGCCGGUGACAAACCGGAGGAAGGUGGGGAUGACGUCAAGUCCUCAUGGCCCUUAUGGGUAGGGCUUCACACGUCAUACAAUGGUCGGUACAGAGGGUUGCCAAGCCGCGAGGUGGAGCCAAUCCCAGAAAACCGAUCGUAGUCCGGAUCGCAGUCUGCAACUCGACUGCGUGAAGUCGGAAUCGCUAGUAAUCGCGGAUCAGAAUGCCGCGGUGAAUACGUUCCCGGGUCUUGUACACACCGCCCGUCACACCAUGGGAGUGGGUUCUACCAGAAGUGGCUAGUCUAACCGCAAGGAGGACGGUCACCACGGUAGGAUUCAUGACUGGGGUGAAGUCGUAACAAGGUAACCAAU